CGUGUGCUGUCCGCGGGGACCCAGAGACUCAGUCCCGGGUUCUCGAGCCCCGCCAAGGCAGCAGCAUCCUACGGCAGCGCUCCAUGGGGACGCCGGGAGGCGGCAGAUUGAGAAAGGAUACAAUUAAGAACAGCCAGAUGGAAGAGCUGGACAGAGCAAAGUGUGGCUUAAGAGGAAUGAGCACAACAUUUCCUGGCACACCAUCCUUCCCAAGAGUCCACCAUCUCUAGGAAGAGAUUAAACUGAGGCCAUCAUACACGUGAGGAAUGCACUCUACUAGUGAGCUUCAUCCCCUGCCCACUUCAAGAAAAACUUUUACCAUUACCUUCUAC